GACGAACGCUGGCGGCGUGCUUAACACAUGCAAGUCGAACGCUGAAGCUCAGCUUUUGUUGGGUGGAUGAGUGGCGAACGGGUGAGUAACACGUGAGUAACCUGCCUCCUUCUUUGGGAUAACGCCCGGAAACGGGUGCUAAUACUGGAUAUUCACUGGUCUUCGCAUGGGGUUGGUGGAAAGGGUUUUUCUGGUGGGGGAUGGGCUCGCGGCCUAUCAGCUUGUUGGUGGGGUGAUGGCCUACCAAGGCUUUGACGGGUAGCCGGCCUGAGAGGGUGACCGGUCACAUUGGGACUGAGAUACGGCCCAGACUCCUACGGGAGGCAGCAGUGGGGAAUAUUGCACAAUGGGCGCAAGCCUGAUGCAGCGACGCCGCGUGAGGGAUGGAGGCCUUCGGGUUGUGAACCUCUUUCGCUCAUGGUCAAGCCGCAACAAUGGUUGUGGUGAGGGUAGUGGGUAAAGAAGCGCCGGCUAACUACGUG
rnacentral:rRNA from 1 species